GUGAGGAAUAUUGGACAAUGGGCGCAAGCCUGAUCCAGCCAUGCCGCGUGAGUGAUGAAGGCCUUCGGGUUGUAAAGCUCUUUAGUCCACGAAUAUAAUGACUGUAGUGGAAGAAUAAGCCCCGGCUAACUUCGUGCCAGCAGCCACGGUAAUACGAAGGGGGCGAGCGUUAUUCGGAAUCACUGGGCGUAAAGCGUGCGUAGGCUGUUUUGUAAGUCAGAAGUGAAAGCCCAGGGCUUAACCCUGGAAUUGCUUUUGAAACUACAAGACUCGAAUUCGGGAGAGGAUAGCGGAAUUGUCAGUGUAGCAGUGAAAUGCGUAGAUAUUGACAGGAACACCAGUGGCGCAAGCGGCUAUCUGGACCGAUAUUGACGCUGAGGCACGAAAGCGUGGGGAGCAAACAGGAUUAGAUACCCGAGUAGUCC
rnacentral:rRNA from 1 species